GAGGGUGGCGUUGCUGUGACCGGCUGUGGGUUUGUGGCAGAGAAUUCCUGUGGGAAUCUCCUCACAGAGGAGCCUCACAGCCAGCACCUGCACACAAACACCCAGUCCACGGCUUGGCUAAAACAUUUGACCCUUUAUUCCUAAACACGACAGAAAUUUAAGAGUGAGGGGAGAGCAAGAGAGCCGAAUACUGGCGGCUGCCAGGAGCAAGGCCCCACAGGCCCCCACCUCCCCAUCCUGUGCUUGAUGAUGGUGAUGAUGAGAGGCCCAGUGCAAUUAGAAGGAACAUCUUUGCUUUGUGGGAUCUGACACUGCUUUUAAAGGAUGAUUUUUACAGCAGAAUCUCUCAAAAGAUUUUGGAGUCCUUGUCUCUUUCAGUGCAAUAAAUUAAGCUGUAUUUUGCAUCACUGGGACAUUUCUUCUGGAAUGUGAAUUCUUUUACCUUUUGGAUUGUUGCUUUCUCUAUCCAGCGAUUUUGCAGCUUUGCAAAUGUUGUUGAAGGUCCUCCUGCACUCCUGUGCAGAAUGACUCCCCUGCAAACAGCUGCAUUACUGAAUGACUCAAUCUCUGAAAACGGUGGGGUUUUUUGUAAAUGUUUCUUAAAUUACCUAGCAAAACACAAAGAUGAAUAAGAGGUAAGUGAGGCAUGUACCCUUUAUUCCUGCAGUGAA